GUGAGAAGGUUUUCGGAUCGUAAAACUCUGCCGUUAGGGAAGAACACGUAUGAGAGUAACUGCUCGUACCUUGACGGUACCUUAUUAGAAAGCCACGGCUAACUACGUGCCAGCAGCCGCGGUAAUACGUAGGUGGCAAGCGUUGUCCGGAAUUAUUGGGCGUAAAGCGCGCGC
rnacentral:rRNA from 1 species